rnacentral:rRNA from 1 species
AAUCAACGCUGGCGGCGUGCCUAACACAUGCAAGUCGCGCGCGAAAGGGGGGCAACUCCCGAGUAAAGCGGCGAACGGGUGAGUAACACGUGGGUAAUCUACCUUCGAGUGGGGAACAACACCGGGAAACUGGUGCUAAUUCCGCAUGACAUCGGUCGGGGCUUCGGUUCUGACGCUCAAAGCUGGGGAUCGCAAGACCUAGCGCUUGAAGAUGAGCCCGCGUCCGAUUAGCAGUUGGCGGGGUAAUGGCCCACCAAGGCUUCGAUCGGUAGCCGGCCUGAGGAGGGCGGACGGCCACACUGGAACUGAGACACGGUCCAGACUCCUACGGGAGCAGCAGGUGGGGAAUUUUUCGCAAUGGGGGCAACCCUGACGAAGCAACGCCGC